rnacentral:rRNA from 1 species
GUACCAAGGCGAUGAUGCAUAGCCCGAGUUGAGAGACUGAUCGGCACAUUGGGGACUGAGACACGGGCCCAAACUCCUACGGGAGGCAGCAGUAGGGAAUCUUCCACAAUGGACGCAAAGUCUGAUGGAGCAAACGCCGCGUGAGUGAAGAAGGGUUUCGGCUCGUAAAAAGCUCUGUUGUUGGUGAAGAAGGACAGGGGUAGUAACGUGACCCUUUGUUUGUACGGUAAUCAAUUAGAAAGUCACGGGCUAACUACGUGCCAGCAGCCGCGGUAAAU